AUAAAUAAUAAGAGUGGAAUUACAGGAGGGAAAAGCACAAAGAGAGUCUUAUGUAAUGGCGAAAUAGCCACGUCAUCACUUGUUACCUUUCCCUUUCUUCAAUAAAAAGAAACUUCUUUUGAAUCAAAAUCCUUAUACAACUCUUCUUCUGCUUCUUUCAAUUCACUUAAAAACACUUUGAAUUGCAUCAGAAAGGAAGAAAAUUUGUUAAAAUUUACUCAAUUAGCUGGAUUAUAGGUUUAAGUGACUACCUUUCUGAAUUACUCUCAUUGAUGGUGCACGGAAGCUAGGGUGUACACUUCUACUGAAAAAGUGGUACAGAGCUUUAUUGCAAUAGUUUAAAGUUGGGGCCUCAAAAAUGUCGAGCGGAGAUGGACCUAAAGUCUCCUGUGAAGAAAUACAAAUGGUGCAAAAUCGGAUUGAGCACUGUCUUCGGCAAUACAUGAGUCGGAAAGAAGUCGUGAACACUCUCUUCAUCCAGGACAGCAUAGAGCCUACAUUUACUGAACUCGUUUGGCAGAAACUAGAAGAAGAAAAUCAGGAAUUUUUCCAAGCAUAUUACCUGAAGCUGAUGGUGAAAGAGCAAAUAAUAGAAUUCAACAGGUUGCUUUCGGAACAGGUGAAGAUGACGCAGCAAGUUCCAAGUGCAAUUGCUUCUCUACCUAUGUCUAAUGGGUGUAAUAUUAUGCCAAUGCAUCAAAAUUCAACUUGCGGUGCUGCCGAAAAUGUUGGAACUGCUGCAAAGCCUAAUGGCAUGCACGAACCUGUACAUGCUGAUAGACCCAAUGCAUUCAGUAACAGCAGCUCAUCUGUUCUCUCUUGCAUGCAAACAUCAAUUGAUAUUCCUUCUCAAAGCAGGAAAACUGAUGGUCCUCCUAAUAUGUUUUUGGGCCAGCCCUCUAACAUGGGGAUGAGACAAACAAUGGAUGGGAGGAUUAUUAAGACAGAACCUAUCUAUGGUGGCAAUUCUCCGUUUGCCUUUGGUCCUCAUGGCACUUACUUGGAGUCACGUUCUGCAAUGGGCGAUGCAUCUGUUUCAUCAUUUAGCAGUGUGGAGUCGAACACACAACCUCUUAAUGAACCUCUUCUGGAUGCUGACACUUCUUCGUUUGGAUUUCUAGGGGAGAUACCUCAAAAUUUUGGUUUCUCAGACUUGACUGCUGAUUUCACUAAUACUUCUGGUAUUAAAAUGAGCUGGUAUUGAUGCUAAUCAGGCAUACUUUAUAUUCGUUUUGACCAUGUUCAGAUAUAUUAGGGAGCUACUCUAGGACUCCCUUUUUAGCAACAGAUACUGGCAACUUGCUCGAUUCAAACGGAGGCAUUGAGAGGUUAACCAAUCCCUCAGAGAACUUGAGAUACACUAAUUUCAGUGGAGAUUGAUCGUGUAUAGAUUCGAUCAAAACACAUACACGACGAUAGCUUUUGUAUAUUGCUGGCUGCUCAAGUGGUUUUAGGAUAUUUGGAUUUUCUGGUAUUGUAGGUUUGAGGUUUUCAUCAUGAAGGAUAAUUCAAAACAUGAAAGAUUUCAAUAGAGAUCUUUACUUUGUACAAAGAGUUAAAUGUGAUUUAGAACAAUUGUUAUUUUAGCCACAUAUAGCAUACUGUCUGAUUUUUAGUGCAACUAUGAAACAGUAUUGAAGUUUUACAGCA